UACGAAGGGGGCUAGCGUUGUUCGGAAUUACUGGGCGUAAAGCGCGCGCAGGCGGCUAUCCAAGUCAGUGGUGAAAGCCCGGAGCUCAACUCCGGAACUGCCAUUGAAACUGUUUAGCUUGAGGACGAGAGAGGUGAGUGGAAUUCCCAGUGUAGAGGUGAAAUUCGUAGAUAUUGGGAGGAAGGCCGGUGGCGAAGGCGGCGCUCUGGAACAUUUCUGACGCUGAGGCUCGAAAGCGUGGGGAGCAAACAGG
rnacentral:rRNA from 1 species